rnacentral:misc_RNA from 1 species
AAAGCCAUCUCAUAAACUCUUGGCGUCUUUACAGGUUUUUAAAUUCCAUCUGGGCUUUGAAUGAUUCCCAUAUGCUAAAAAAGCAUAUAUCAGAUUUGCAAUUUAAUUGCAUACUUAGGUGACUGGUUGGUUGGUUUCAAGCCUUCAAGGCUACUUACAGAACUAUCAUUUGGGACCUUCUCCAUCAAAGAGAGCUAUUUGAAACGAGAAUGUCUGCAUCAGUCCAAUCCCCGACACGCUUCUCACUUGCCUGAACUCUUACAAUCCGAUCAGAUACACGGUGGUUAAAUGGAUCAUCGGAGUUUGACUCCACUAGCAAUGGAUCCCAGUAGAACUCGAUCGAUGCAUUAUAUUG